rnacentral:rRNA from 1 species
AGAUUGAACGCUGGCGGCGUGCUUAACACAUGCAAGCCGAGCGGUAACGCGGGAGCAAUCCUGGCGACGAGCGGCGAACGGGUGAGUAAUGCUUGGGAAUCUGCCCAUUAGUGGGGAACAACCAGCCGAAAGGUUGGCUAAUACCGCAUACGCCCUACGGGGGAAAGCGGGGGCUCGUAAGACCUCGCGCUAAUGGAUGAGCCCAAGUCGGAUUAGCUUGUUGGUAGGGUAACGGCCUACCAAGGCGACAAUCCGUAGCUGGUCUGAGAGGACGACCAGCCACACUGGGACUGAGACACGGCCCAGACUCCUACGGGAGGCAGCAGUGGGGGAAUAUUGGACAAUGGGGGAAACCCUGAUCCAGCGACGCCGCGUGUGUGAAGAAGGCCUGCGGGUUGUAAAGCACUUUAGUGGGAUGAAAAGCCUAGGGUUAACACCUCUGGGUCUUGACCUAACCCACAGAAAAGCACCGGCUAACUCUGUGCCAGCAGCCGACGGU